rnacentral:snRNA from 1 species
GGAUGUGAGGGCGAUCUGGCCGCAGCAUCUGUCACCCCGUUGAUCGCCAGGGUUGAUUCGGCUGAUCUGGCCGGCUAAGCGGGUGUCCCCUUCCUCCCUCACUGCUCCAUGUGCAUCCCUCUGGAAGCUGCGCCUUCAGUCUCUCAAUGGAAAAGGAUGGCCUUCCCCGAAUAGAGAGGGACUGAUCUUCAGUUGAGGGUAUAUGAGUAGCUGCGCUCCCCUGCUAGAACCUCCAAACAAGCUCUCAAUAUCUUCUCUGAUUCCCUCUGAUCCAUCUAUAAUGGUGCUGAGUGCUGAACCAGGACAAAGGGAAAGUGUGUAAGUACAGUCUUGAUUCAGUAGCU